UACGGAGGGGGCUAGCGUUGUUCGGAAUUACUGGGCGUAAAGCGCACGUAGGCGGCUUUGUAAGUUAGAGGUGAAAGCCCAGAGCUCAACUCUGGAACUGCCUUUAAGACUGCAUCGCUUGAAUCAUGGAGAGGUUAGUGGAAUUCCGAGUGUAGAGGUGAAAUUCGUAGAUAUUCGGAAGAACACCAGUGGCGAAGGCGACUAACUGGACAUGUAUUGACGCUGAGGUGCGAAAAGCGUGGGGGAGCAAACAGG
rnacentral:rRNA from 1 species